GAGUAUCAUGCCCUCACGGGUAGAUCUCCACCCUUGAAUAACAUACCUCUGUUGCUUUGGCAGGCCCCAUUUCCAGCGACCUCGGCUGUUGAGUGACUGCCAGAGGACCACAACUCUUGUUUUUAGUGGUGUCUGAGUACUAUAUAAUAGUUAAAACUUUCAACAACGGAUCUCUUGGUUCU
rnacentral:misc_RNA from 1 species